AUCUUUCCCAACACUCCCAACGUUUUCCAGAAGUCCUCUAUCUUUCCCAACACUCCCAAAGUUUUACAGAAGUCCUCUAUCUUUCCCAACACUCCCAAAGUUUUACAGAAGUCCUCUAUCUUUCCCAACACUCCCAAAGUUUUACAGAAGUCCUCUAUCUUUCCCAACACUCCCAAAGUUUUACAGAAGUCCUCUAUCUUUCCCAACACUCCCAAAGUUUUACAGAAGUCCUCUAUCUUUCCCAACACUCCCAAAGUUUUACAGAAACCUCGGUUGGACGAUUCCUGGAAUGGAGAUCGGAUAAGCAGGAAAUACGGGAAUCGUCCAACUAGGAUUUGUUAAAUACCAUGGAACUUUGAGAAGGUUUACGGAGUUUGUGCAACGCUACUAGGUGUCUAGAGAACAUCUUUAAACAGGAGGGUGUAUUGAGGUAAUACUGUAGUGUUGAUGGCACCGGUUAACUGACCAGUCUGAUUUUAGGAAGAAACAACUCACUCUGGACACAGAUCCAGUUAACUGACCAGUCUGAUUUUUAGGAAGAAACGACUCAGUCUGGACACAGAUCCUAAAUUGAGAUGUAUUCUCAUCAAUAGCAGCAUUAGAGCCACAUUUUUAUAGUGCAAAAGCAAUGUGCAAAUAUGUACGGUUAAAAUCUGGAAGUUGGAUUUCAUUUAACACAUUUCUUCAACGAUGUGUGUUUAUAAAGAGACGUCUGUUAGGGCAUCGCUCCAUUUACUGAACUCUAGUGAGGCAAUCGCCUCUUUUAUAACGCGUAUUGUUGAAGAAAAGUUUUCAAAUUAAAUCUCACUGCGAGAUUAUAAUGAGGUUUACUGUCAUUUUUUUUCAAUUUUCCACAAUGUUUUUUUUUUUUGCGCUGUGAAAAUAGGAGCCGUUAAUCAGGGUCUGGGAACCUUCCCCUGUUGAUGUUGAUGAAAUGGAAACAGAGUGGGUCUCGUAGAAACUGUCUGAACCCCUAACGGCACCCAGUUCCCGAAUUAGUCCACUACUUUUGACCACAAACCAAUGUAGAGCUCUGGUCAACAAGUAAUGCGCUUAUAUAGGGAAUAGGGUGCCAUUUUGGAUUGAGACACUAUUGUUCAACUGAAAAUAUAAUUUGAUCAGGAGGUGUUUUAAAUGUUAUUUUAUUGUGUCCGACAGCCUUCAUCCAAAACGGGGAUGUGCACGCAGGUAUACGUUUGUGUCUUAAGAGUCAGUGUGAGUUUGUCCCAAAUGACACCCUAUUCCCUACGUAGUGCACUACUACAGUAACCACAGAGGGUUUAGCCAAUCAGGGCUCUGGUUGAAAGUAGUGCACUACUACAGUAACCACAGAGGGUUUAGCCAAUCAGGGCUCUGGUUGAAAGUAGUGCACUACUACAGUAACCACAGAGGGUUUAGCCAAUCAGGGCUCUGGUUAAAAGUAGUGCACUACUACAGUAACCACAGAGGGUUUAGCCAAUCAGGGCUCUGGUUAAAAGUAGUGCACUACUACAGUAACCACAGAGGGUUUAGCCAAUCAGGGCUCUGGUUGAAAGUAGUGCACUACUACAGUAACCACAGAGGGUUUAGCCAAUCAGAGCUCUGGUUGAAAGUAGUGCACUACUACAGUAACCACAGAGGGUUUUGCCCAUCAGAGCUCUGGUUAAAAGUAGUGCACUAUAUAGGGAACAGGGCUCCAUUUGGGGAGUAGUUCAUCUGGUUGUAGGUAGUGUACUAUAUAGGGAACAGGGCUCCAUUUGGGGAGUAGUUCAUCUGGUUGUAGGUAGUGUAAAUACAAAAUAUAAUAAUGUCCUUUUUUUUCCCACAGCAGAAGAAUGGAUGUGUUUAAAAAAAAACGUGCAUCUUGAUCUGCUUUUCUAUUUAAUAUAUAUUUAAAAUGUUGUGCUGAUUUCUUUCUGUUGAUGUGUUGUCUUCUAUGUGGACAGGGACAGGAAAGAGACCUUUUCAUUUGGUUUGUUAAAUACAUCUUUUCACUACGUCUUGCCUUCAGUUUUUUUCAAUAAGUUUUUUUUUUUUUUUUUCAAUAAGUGACGACCUUUGUAUCGUUACAGCUGAUUUGACUAGAACUUCAAAUAGAUCCUUUUCUCCGUUGUGAAUGAGAAACCACUUCUUCAAGUUCACCUGCAGCCUUGAUUCCAAUACACCUUUUUAUACAGAGCAACGUAUAACAGUUCAGAUGGGGACGACUAGACAUGGUGACGCAGAAAACACAUUACCUGGAUCCAGUAGCAAAUUAAUGUUUUAAUUAAUGUGUUAAAGAAAUAAAUUGCUUUUCUAUCAUGUUAGAGGUUACCAGGAUUGGGGGUCAAUCACUUUUCUAUCUUGUUAGUGGUUACCAGGGGUCGGGGGUCAAAAUCACUUUUUAAAUUCCAGUCAAUUGAGAAUGUUCACUGACAUUCCAGUUCCAACUGUCAUCAAUGCCUUUCAAUAAAGAACAUUUGGAAUUCGGUUUACUUAGUGAAUUGAAAUGGAGCUCCACCCUGAUCGCUAUAUUACUGUGUAUACUGAUAGGUGUACUACGUACGCUGGACAGCCCUUUUCCCCAACCAAUGGUAGAACUGUUGUGGCGCCCUCUGCUGUUUUAAUGGAAGUAGUGCAGUCUAAUGUCCCUCCCACUUCACAUCUUCACACACCCGGGUCGUGUUCAUUAGUAGCACACCUUAGCGGGGGGAAAAAACGCUUUACACAAACGGAACACGAGCGUUUUCUUAUUAGACAUGUUCAGGUAGUCUCUCCUCGUUUCAGCCUGUUUGAUUCCUAAUGAAUACGACCCUGUUCAUUCUGUUUGAUUCCUAUUGAAUCACCUGUUCUGUGGUGUAUUCAUUCUGUUUGAUUCCUAAUGAAUACGACCCUGUUCUGUGGUGUAUUCAUUCUGUUUGAUUCCUAAUGAAUCACCUGUUCUGUGGUGUAUUCAUUCUGUUUGAUUCCUAAUGAAUCACCUGUUCUGUGGUGUAUUCAUUCUGUUUGAUUCCUAAUGAAUAUGACCCUGUUCUGUGGUGUAUUCAUUCUGUUUGAUUCCUAAUGAAUAUGACCCUGUCCCGUGGUAUAUUCAGUUGUGCACACUAGGAAACCGUAGCAAAGUGUUUUUGCAACAGAAAAUGCUUUGUAAUGAAAUCGAGUGUUUCAUUCUGGAUAAGUUCAGGUUGUCCUUCACUGUUUGGUGCCUAAUGAAUACGACCAUGUCCUGUUUCCUGUUUCCUGGUUUAGUUUGAAUACGACCAUGUCCUGCUUCCUGUUUCCUGUAUCUGGUUUAGUUUGAAUACGACCAUGUCCUGUUUCCUGUUUCCUGUAUCUGGUUUAGUUUGAAUACGACCAUGUCCUGUUUCCUGCGUCUGGUUUAGUUUGAAUACAACCAUGUCCUGUUUCCUGUAUCUGGUUUAGUUUGAAUAAGACCAUUUCCUGUUUCCUGGUUUAGUUUGAAUAAGACAAUGUCUUGUUUCCUGUUUCCUGUAUCUGGUUUAGUUUGAAUACGACCAUGUCCUGUUUCCUGUAUCUGGUUUAGUUUGAAUACGACCAUGUCCUGUUUCCUG